AUGGAGUUCAGGUUCAGCUGGAUUUUCCUUGUUGCUAUUUUACAAGGUGUCCAGUGUGAAGUGCAACUGGUGGAGUCUGGGGGAGGCUUGGUGCAACCUGGAGGGUCCUUGAGACUCUCCUGUGUAGUCUCUGGAUUCAGCCUCAGUGACUACGGACAGAACUGGGUCCGUCAGGCUCCUGGGAAGAAGCUGGAGUGGGUGGCAGUUAUGUGGUAUGAUGGCAGUAAGCAAUACUAUGCAGAUUCUGUGAAAGGUCGAUUCACCAUCUCCAGAGAUAUUGCUAAGAACACACUGUACCUGCAAAUGAACAGCCUGAGAGCUGAGGACACAGCUGUGUAUUACUGUGCAAGUGACACAGUGAAGGAAAGUUAA